AAAGAAUGGUUGGACGAGAUAUAAGCUGUUUCAUUUAAAAUUUAUAUAGAAUUUUAUUUUUUAGUUAAAAAGCUAAAAUAUGAUCAAAAGACGAGAAGACCCUAUAAAUCUUAAUUAUUUAAUAAUUUUUAAUUUAUUUUGGUUUUUUUUGUUAUAAAUUUAUUAAAUAAUUUUAUUGGGGUGAUAUUAAAAUUUAAAUAACUUUUAAUAAUUUUUGUCAUUUAUUUAUGAUUAAGUGAUCCAUUAUUAGUGAUUAAAAAAUUAAGUUACUUUAGGGAUAACAGCGUAAUUUUUUUGGAGAGUUCUUAUCGAUAAAAAAGUUUGCGACCUCGAUGUUGGAUUAAGAUUCAUAUUUAAAUGUAGAAGUUUAAAUAUUAAGUCUGUUCGACUUUUUAUUCUUACAUGAUCUGAGUUCAAACCGGUGUAAGCCAGGUUGGUUUCUAUCUUUGAUUUAAUAAAAUAUUUUAGUACGAAAGGAAUUAAUAUUUAUUUUUAAGAAAUUAUUU
rnacentral:rRNA from 1 species